AGUUAGAACUACAGUUUCAUUCAUUCUUUAUCAGUUUUCUUCUAAUUCUGACUGAUAACACCUGGGCUGGUAGUGCUAAAGAAUUUGGGUUAAUAACCUCUGCCUGCUGUGUUACCUAGUUUUAAUCCAAACUGUUGUGUUCCAUGAAUACACCGCUGAGUUUCACAGUCCCUCCUUCAGGUACCAAAACAGGUUAAGAAACCCCAAGAACAUUCUGCUAAAUGUAUUAGGCCAUAUUCAUUUAUAUGUUCUGGCUAAUUUGUGCUGCUCUGGUGAUGCAAAGCAGCCAUAAACCUGGAUUAGUGCAGUGGAGCAGUGGGGAGACUUUAGUAAAGAAACAGGAAGACUGUAGUUUGCUGUGAGACAUAGACUGUAUGUAGGGUUUUGCAGAAGAAGGAAGGAGACGGGAGAACAAGACUGAGCAUUUGCUCUAUAUCCAUGGGGAGGAGUAAGCUGCCUUCUACACCUGAAUGUGUUCCUUCAGCACAAACUGGUGCUGUUUGUACAUGACGUUGCAUUGGGUGGUGUAAACAUCACCAGAAAUACUGCAGAAGUUUCCAACUCCCAGCUUCCCAGAAGUUUCCUCUGGCUUUCCUCCCCUGGCACACAGCCAGGGUGCUGUCCUGCCUGCCCCUGUCCCGAGCUGUCUUCUGGGUUCCUGUGCCCUUAACUUCAGAGCUGGAGAUGAAAUUCUGAAAAGACUCAGCAGGAGAGAUAGAAGGAAGGGGCAUCUUUAGCCUUUAAUUGAGGUUCCGGUCUUGUAUUCAAUACCUGUGGAGCUCUACACAGUGCCCAGCACUGAAGAAUUGCAUUGGGAGCACUGUGACAGUGGUGCCCUCCCUGGCAGGAGUACCCCCACCAAUUGAACUUUCUUGUUUCCAUCACAAAAUUCAUGGGGGGACAGAAGAGGUCCAUCUGCAGCUGGCAUCACUGAAGCAUUUUCUCUUAAGAGCAGUGAUAAAGACA
rnacentral:lncRNA from 1 species